rnacentral:rRNA from 1 species
CCUAAGGGGGGCAGCAGUGGGGAAUAUUGGACAAUGGGCGAAAGCCUGAUCCAGCCAUGCCGCGUGUGUGAAGAAGGCCUUCGGGUUGUAAAGCACUUUCAGUGGGGAAGAAAGCCUUGGGGCUAAUACCCUCGAGGAAGGACAUCACCCACAGAAGAAGCACCGGCUAACUCCGUGCCAGCAGCCGCGGUAAUACGGAGGGUGCGAGCGUUAAUCGGAAUUACUGGGCGUAAAGCGCGCGUAGGCGGUCUGAUAAGCCGGUUGUGAAAGCCCCGGGCUCAACCUGGGAACGGCAUCCGGAACUGUCAGGCUAGAGUGCAGGAGAGGAAGGUAGAAUUCCCGGUGUAGCGGUGAAAUGCGUAGAGAUCGGGAGGAAUACCAGUGGCGAAGGCGGCCUUCUGGACUGACACUGACGCUGAGGUGCGAAAGCGUGGGUAGCAAACAGGAUUAGAUACCCAGUAGUC